UACGAAGGGUGCAAACGUUGCUCGGAAUCAUUGGGCGUAAAGCGCACGUAGGCGGCUUUGCAAGUCGGAUGUGAAAUCCCGUGGCUCAACCAUGGACGUGCAUUCGAAACUGCAAAGCUUGAGUAUGGAAGAGGGUCGCGGAAUUCCCGGUGUAGAGGUGAAAUUCGUAGAUAUCGGGAGGAACACCAGUGGCGAAGGCGGCGACCUGGGCCAAUACUGACGCUGAGGUGCGAAAGCGUGGGGAGCAAACGGG
rnacentral:rRNA from 1 species